UAUAUUUGAGAGUUUGAUCCUGGCUCAGGAUGAACGCUGGCGGCGUGCCUAACACAUGCAAGUCGAGCGAACCCUUCGGGGUGAGCGGCGGACGGGUGAGUAACGCGUGGGUAACCUGCCCUGUACACACGGAUAACAUACCGAAAGGUAUGCUAAUACGGGAUAACAUAUGAGAGUCGCAUGGCUUUUGUAUCAAAGCUCCGGCGGUACAGGAUGGACCCGCGUCUGAUUAGCUAGUUGGUAAGGUAACGGCUUACCAAGGCAACGAUCAGUAGCCGACCUGAGAGGGUGAUCGGCCACAUUGGAACUGAGACACGGUCCAGACU
rnacentral:rRNA from 1 species